rnacentral:rRNA from 1 species
GACGAACGCUGGCGGCGUGCCUAACACAUGCAAGUGGAGCGACGAACCAGGCUUCGGCCUGGGGCAAAGCCGCGAACGGGUGAGUAACACGUGGGUAACCNGCCCUGAUGAUUGGGACAACCCGAGGAAACUCGGGCUAAUACCGAAUGUGCCCUCCGGCCUCAAGGCCGCUGGGGAAAGGAAGCUUCGGCCUCCGCAUCGGGGAUGGGGCCCCGCGGGCCCCAUUACGA